rnacentral:lncRNA from 1 species
CAAAGAUAAAUUAAUGCUGCUUCUCCUCUGCUUUGAGUGCAGCAGGAUGCUGAAGGCAGCAGAAACGAAGCACUAAACAACACAUUAGUGCUAUCCAAGAAAACUAGAAUAACCAGAAUAACCGAAAAAGAGGAUCUAUUUUCCACAUUAAGGAAUGAAAUCCAACUCUUCAAAACAGUUAAAUAGACCAAAGUGUUUGUGUGUGUAUGGAUUGUUAUGACUCAGUGUGAGUUUGCAGUGCAGUAGAAUAGCCCUUGGGAAAUAGCAGUUUUCUGGCUUUGCUGUCUUUCCAGAACCAAGCAAGUGCUAAAUUGUUACUGUCAUAUUCACGCUUCAUGUAAGGUAUUUUAUGAAGAUACUUUGGCUAAUUUGGAUCACUGCACUUUGCCACAGUGCUACAGCAAGGAAGUCUUGUGCUGGCUCUGCAUCAUUAAAGGGAAUUAUUAAGGAAAUAAUAUUUCUUAGAAGUUUCCUAUUAGGUCGUAGGGGAGUUUGGCAGGAGUGUUAAUACUACAGGAGCUCUAUAUCUACUGUGGCAGUGGCAUGUGAAUGUAAUAAUGCUGUUAGAUUUUCACUACAAUCAAAAAUCCAAGUCUGUGAGGCUGAAGAAUAGAUUGGUUUAUAUCAUGUAUGUCACAGUACUCUAUACACUAAAAUUUUAUUAUAUUUGGCUUAUUGCUGCUUGUAGAAAUACCCUUGUCUUAUAACUUGGUCCUCUUUUCCUCCUUAAGGAAAUGCUUUAGAAGCAUUUUGAGAUGUUGCUGAUGCUACUCAUAUGAAAGGAAACUGACUGUGAAAAGCCUGAGAAAUUACUUUUACCUUCUGGAAAGUAGUUAGGUUGUUUUUGGUGCCCAGUAUACAAAGUGUGGAAGCUAAAAUACAAAAGAGAAGUGAUGGAAGAUGAAAUUAGGUGCAUUGCAAAGCUGAAGCUUAAUGCAGGGGGUUCAGGAGGACCAGAGCAGAGCAUCAGCAGGACUGAGCAGCUGUCUCUUCAUGCUGUCAGACAAUGAAGGUGUUGAGUGGUUCAGCCUGGUCCAUCUGGAUGGAGAGCUAGGAAUAGGCACACUCCAGCAAAGCAGGUUCACCUCAUGUUUUGGCCUGAGGCAUAGAGAUAGCAGCUGACAUGACUUUUCAGCGUUUUGGAUUGACCAUACUGCUUGUCCCUGCUGCUGCUCCAAUUUAUCAGCUUUGUUUAAAGAUCAAAGAAUUUAGUAUAAACAGAUUUAAGUUGGAAACAGUCUGACUUCUUGCAUGUUUAUUUUCUCUGUUAAUGAGAAGAAUGACCUAAUCCAAAAUUAUUAUCACUUUUUCUAAAAAUUUGAAGUGGAGAAAUAAUUUAGUUGCUUCACAAGUAGAAAAGCAGCUCAAAAAUGGAUGCAGAGGCUGCAGAAUCAAGGUCUGCCAAGAA